GGCCCCCUGGACAGAUACUGACACUCAGAUGCGAAAGCGUGGGGAGCAAACAGGAUUAGAUACCCUGGUAGUCCACGCCGUAAACGAUGUCUACUUGGAGGUUGUGGCCUUGAGCCGUGGCUUUCGGAGCUAACGCGUUAAGUAGACCGCCUGGGGAGUACGGUCGCAAGAUUAAAACUCAAAUGAAUUGACGGGGGCCCGCACAAGCGGUGGAGCAUGUGGUUUAAUUCGAUGCAACGCGAAGAACCUUACCUACUCUUGACAUCCACAG
rnacentral:rRNA from 1 species